rnacentral:rRNA from 1 species
GACGAACGCUGGCGGCGUGCUUAACACAUGCAAGUCGAACGGAAAGGCCCUUCGGGGUACUCGAGUGGCGAACGGGUGAGUAACACGUGGGUGAUCUGCCCUGCACUUUGGGAUAAGCCUGGGAAACUGGGUCUAAUACCGAAUAGGACCACGCGCUUCAUGGUGUGUGGUGGAAAGCUUUUGCGGUGUGGGAUGGGCCCGCGGCCUAUCAGCUUGUUGGUGGGGUAAUGGCCUACCAAGGCGACGACGGGUAGCCGGCCUGAGAGGGUGACCGGCCACACUGGGACUGAGAUACGGCCCAGACUCCUACGGGAGGCAGCAGUGGGGAAUAUUGCACAAUGGGCGCAAGCCUGAUGCAGCGACACCGCGUGAGGGAUGACGGCCUUCGGGUUGUAAACCUCUUUCAAUAGGGACGAAGCGCAAGUGACGGUACCUAUAGAAGAAGCACCGGCCAACUACGUGCCAGCAGCCGCGGUAAUACGUAGGGUGCGAGCGUUGUCCGGAAUUACUGGGCGUAAAGAGCUCGUAGGUGGUUUGUCGCGUUGUUCGUGAAAACUCACAGCUUAACUGUGGGCGUGCGGGCGAUACGGGCAGACUAGAGUACUGCAGGGGAGACUGGAAUUCCUGGUGUAGCGGUGGAAUGCGCAGAUAUCAGGAGGAACACCGGUGGCGAAGGCGGGUCUCUGGGCAGUAACUGACGCUGAGGAGCGAAAGCGUGGGGAGCGAACAGGAUUAGAUACCCUGGUAGUCCACGCCGUAAACGGUGGGUACUAGGUGUGGGUUCCUUCCUUGGGAUCCGUGCCGUAGCUAACGCAUUAAGUACCCCGCCUGGGGAGUACGGCCGCAAGGCUAAAACUCAAAGGAAUUGACGGGGGCCCGCACAAGCGGCGGAGCAUGUGGAUUAAUUCGAUGCAACGCGAAGAACCUUACCUGGGUUUGACAUGCACAGGACGCCGGCAGAGAUGUCGGUUCCCUUGUGGCCUGUGUGCAGGUGGUGCAUGGCUGUCGUCAGCUCGUGUCGUGAGAUGUUGGGUUAAGUCCCGCAACGAGCGCAACCCUUGUCCUAUGUUGCCAGCGGGUUAUGCCGGGGACUCGUAGGAGACUGCCGGGGUCAACUCGGAGGAAGGUGGGGAUGACGUCAAGUCAUCAUGCCCCUUAUGUCCAGGGCUUCACACAUGCUACAAUGGCCGGUACAAAGGGCUGCGAUGCCGUGAGGUGGAGCGAAUCCUUUCAAAGCCGGUCUCAGUUCGGAUCGGGGUCUGCAACUCGACCCCGUGAAGUCGGAGUCGCUAGUAAUCGCAGAUCAGCAACGCUGCGGUGAAUACGUUCCCGGGCCU